CUCAAAUAUUUAGUGUUAGCUGGAGAGAAGAGCCUCAGACAGUCAUCUGUGAAGUUCGGUGACGUGAACGUGACUUGAGUUCCAUCUCAACUAAAACAAUGAAAGAAGAUAAUAUCAUCGUAAGAUUUUUUAAGAUCGCUGUGUUGUUUGUGUUUGGGAUAAUGACUUUUUUUGUAUAAGGUUUGAAAAACUGACCAGCAAAACUGCAAAAAUGGAUUACCUAUCAGAAAAAUCCCUUCAUCGAUAUAUCCAAUUAACUUAAUAUACUGAUUUAAAUGUUUUACUUAUGUUACAAAUUAUGGUGGUUUUACCAAUGGAAUGAUGGUCAGCAAUGUUAUGUUGCAAAAAAUGUUGUCAUGUGGUAAUUAAAAUAUUUUGUUAUUUAUCCCUCAAAA